rnacentral:sRNA from 2 species
AUGACCACGCGUUCACUGCGGUUCCGAGCGCGCCGCCCAUGCCCUACCUGGCAACGGCUCGCCACGUUGCGUUAGCC